AACGAACGCUGGCGGCAUGCCUAAUACAUGCAAGUCGAACGAGCAGAUCGGGAGUUUUCUCCUCUGACUGUGUCGGGCGACGGGUGCUUAACACAUGGAUGACCUACCUCUAAGACUGGGAUGAUUUCAGGAAACCAGGUCUAAUACCGAAUAAUAUAUUGAACCUCGUUGUUCACUAGUUAAAUUCGGUUGUUCUUUCAGUUAUAGAUUAAUCCGCGCCGCAUUAGCUAGUUGGUAAGGUAACUGCUUACCAACGCAACGAGGCGUAGCCGACCUGAGCGGGUGAUCGGCCACACUGGAACUGAGACACGGUCCAGACUCCUACGGGAGGCAGCAGUAGGGAAUCUUCCGCAAUGGGCGAAAGCCUGACGGAGCAACGCCGCGUGAGUGAUGAAGGUCUUCGGAUCGUAAAACUCUGUUAUUAGGGAAGAACAAAUGUGUAAGUAACUAUGCACGUCUUGACGGUACCUAAUCAGAAAGCCACGGCUAACUACGUG
rnacentral:rRNA from 1 species